ACGACGCUGGCGGCGUGCUUAAUACAUGCAAGUCAACGACUUUUAGAGUAGCAAUAUUUAAAGGAGUGGCGCACGGGUGAGUAACACGUAGGUAAUCUGCCUUCAGGACUGACACAACUCGUCGAAAAGACGGGCUAAUAUCAGAUAAUGCAGCGGCUCCGCAUGGAGACAGUUGUUAAAGUACAAGCGCCUGAAGAUGAGCCUGCGGUCCAUUAGCUAGUUGGUAGAGUAACAGCCUACCAAGGCAACGAUGGAUAGCUGGUCUGAGAGGAUGAUCAGCCACACUGGAACUGAGACACGGUCCAGACUCCUACGGGAGGCAGCAGUAAGGAAUAUUGCUCAAUGGCCGAAAGGCUGAAGCAGCAACGCCGCGUGAAGGAUGAAUGGCCUUUGGCCUGUAAACUUCUGUAAAAGGGAAAACAAUCAGGCAUGUCCUGAUUUGAUUGUACCUUUGAAGUAAGCCCCGGCUAACUACGUG
rnacentral:rRNA from 1 species